CCUACGGGCGGCAGCAGUGAGGAAUAUUGGUCAAUGGACGAGAGUCUGAACCGGCCAAGUAGCGUGAAGGAUGACUGCCCUAUGGGUUGUAAACUUCUUUUAUAUGGGAAUAAAAUGUUCCACGUGUGGGAUUUUGUAUGUACCAUAUGAAUAAGGAUCGGCUAACUCCGUGCCAGCAGCCGCGGUAAUACGGAGGAUCCGAGCGUUAUCCGGAUUUAUUGGGUUUAAAGGGAGCGUAGGUGGAUUGUUAAGUCAGUUGUGAAAGUUUGCGGCUCAACCGUAAAAUUGCAGUUGAAACUGACAGUCUUGAGUACAGUAGAGGUGGGCGGAAUUCGUGGUGCAGCGGUGAAAUGCUUAGAUAUCACGAAGAACUCCGAUUGCGAAGGCAGUUCACUGGACUGCAACUGACACUGAGGCUCGAAAGUGUGGGUAUCAAACAGGAUUAGAUACCCGUGUAGUC
rnacentral:rRNA from 1 species